rnacentral:rRNA from 1 species
GAUGAACGCUGGCGGCGUGCCUAAUACAUGCAAGUCGAGCGAACAGACGAGGAGCUUGCUCCUCUGACGUUAGCGGCGGACGGGUGAGUAACACGUGGAUAACCUACCUAUAAGACUGGGAUAACUUCGGGAAACCGGAGCUAAUACCGGAUAAUAUAUUGAACCUCAUGGUUCAAUAGUGAAAGACGGUUUUGCUGUCAUUUAUAGAUGGAUCCGCGCCGCAUUAGCUAGUUGGUAAGGUAACGGCUUACCAAGGCGACGAUGCGUAGCCGACCUGAGAGGGGGAUGGGCCACCCGGGAACUGAGACACGGUCCAGACUCCUACGGGAGGCAGCAGUAGGGAAUCUUCGGAAAUGGGCGAAGGCCGGACGGAGCAACGCGGGGGGAGUGAGGAAGGUCUUCGGAUCGUAAAACUCUGUUAUUGGGGAGGAACAAAUGUGGAGGGAACUGUGCACGUCUUGACGGUACCUAAUCAGAAAGCCACGGCUAACUACGUG